rnacentral:rRNA from 1 species
AAAUUGAAGAGUUUGAUCAUGGCUCAGAUUGAACGCUGGCGGCAGGCCUAACACAUGCAAGUCGAACGGUAACAGGAAGAAGCUUGCUUCUUUGCUGACGAGUGGCGGACGGGUGAGUAAUGUCUGGGAAGCUGCCUGAUGGAGGGGGAUAACUACUGGAAACGGUAGCUAAUACCGCAUAAUGUCGCAAGACCAAAGAGGGGGACCUUCGGGCCUCUUGCCAUCGGAUGUGCCCAGAUGGGAUUAGCUAGUAGGUGGGGUAACGGCUCACCUAGGCGACGAUCCCUAGCUGGUCUGAGAGGAUGACCAGCCACACUGGAACUGAGACACGGUCCAGACUCCUACGGGAGGCAGCAGUGGGGAAUAUUGCACAAUGGGCGCAAGCCUGAUGCAGCCAUGCCGCGUGUAUGAAGAAGGCCUUCGGGUUGUAAAGUACUUUCAG